rnacentral:lncRNA from 1 species
AUAUCUACAUCUUAAAUAGUGGUGCCAUUUAAAUGGUGGUGCUUCUUAAAAUUAUAAAUAAAUAUAUACAUAUAUUAGAGAUGAUCAUGAUCUUGUAUUUGUCAUAUGUGUAAACUAAGAAGAGGACUACAAACUAACAAAUCACAGAUUAAUUUAAAUAUUUCCUGUCUAGAGAAAAAUCUAGGUUCAGGAUGUUGUGAAUGUAACUUUCACAAUCACAUAUUAAUAUCCAAAUACAUCUUCCCGUAACCUUGAUCUUAAUGAACAUAAAAUAAUAUUUUAUAUAUAAAUGGUCUUUCUAUUGGGUAUUUUAUUUAUUUAUAUUUCAAAUGCUACCCCAUUUCCUGGUUUCCCUUCUGUAAACCCCCUCCCCCACCUCCCCUCCCCCUGCUUCUAUAAGGAUGCUCACCACCCAUCUAUCCACUCACUCCCACCUCACUGCCCUGGCAUUCCCCUACACUGGGGCAUUGAACCUUCACAAGAUCAAGAGCCUCUAUUAAGGCCAGAUUAGGAAAUCCUCUGCUACAUAUGCAGCUGGAGCCAUGGGUUCCGCCAUGUGUACUCUUUGGUUGGUGAUUUAGUCCCUGCGAGCUCGGGGUCAGGGGGCGUCUGGUUGGUUGAUCACAAGAUGUUCUUCCUAUGGGGCUGCAAACCCCUUCAGCUUCUUCAGUCCUUGCCCUAACUCUUCCAUUGGGGUGCCUAUGUUCAGUCCAAUGGUUGGCUGAGAGCAUCUGCAUCUGUAUUUGUCAGGUUCUGGCAGAGCCUCUCAGGAGACAGCUAUAUCAGGCUCCUGUCAGCAAGCACUUCUUGGCAUCUGUAAUAGUGUCUCAGCUUGGUGUUUGUAUAUGGGAUGGAUCCCCAUGUGGGACAGUCUCUGGAUGGCCUUUCCUUCAGUCUGUGCUCCAUACUUUGUCCCUGUAUUUCUUUUAGUUAGGAACAAUUCUGGGAUAAAAAUUUGUAGAUGAGUGGGUAGCCCCACCCCCAACUGGGGGCCUUGCAUAACCUUUGGAUAUGGUCUCUACAGGUUCUCCCUCCCCUUUCUUGGACAUUUCAACUAAUCCCAUCCCUGCUGGGUCCUGCCAUCUUCUUGCUUUCUUGGCAUCUGGGACUUUGUUAUCAUUCCUGAGGAUGGAUGAUUAUAUUUCUAGAACACAUCUUGACUAAACCAUACCAUCCUUCCGUGACUGGCUUAUCAUAAAAAGCAGAGAUUCCCAGAGAGGUAUAUUCCCAUUGCUAACUACAUAAAGGGAAUACAAUGCAUAUGUCAUUUACAUAGUUAUAUCCAUCAGGCUUCCUAAGAACUUUUGAAAAAUUUAGUUUCUCAAUGUGAGUCUCCCUUUGAGGGGCAGUUGAAUUAUUUAAAUCUUAAAAGUGAUGGAGAAUAAUCAAGGAAAUAAGAGAAAUCACGAAAGAAGAAAGAAAUCUUCACUCAAUUUUGUGUGCAUAUGAAUAUUUCCAUGGAGAGUUAAAGAAGAGAUGGCUGCCUGGGAAGAUCAGAUGCCUCUUUGCUGUCCCAGUGCUUACUGACCCUCUAGGAUGCAAAACAUCCUACAAGUAAAUGCCCUAGUUCUAAACAAGGCAGACACUCCUGGGCUCUUUCCCUCUCAUUAUAUUAGUAAUAUUUUCAGCUCCUAUUGCUAUGUUAAAAUUUGUGCCAUAAAGAGGAUGAAACAGCCACUUGCUAGAAAAUUCUUGUACCUGAAAUCAUCAUAUUAAGCAAAAAAGCCAACCUCAUAAUGACAAAUACCACAUUUUAUAUCAUGUGAUUCCUACCUAUAUAUUUUAUAGAAUAUAAACCUAUUUAUGUGUACGUAUGACCAAAAGUAUAAGCUGUCAAAAAGAAUCAAGGAAAAUAUCAGGAGAGAUGUCAGAGAGAGGGAUGGGGAGAGGCAGCAAACAUGAUCAAAUAUAUGAUAUUCUUGAAAGGAACUCUGUUUUUGAAACCUAGCACCAUGGACAAUGGCUAUACACCAAUAAAGAAUUGUUUACAUUAUUAGCUCAGCCUAUCAAAAGGAAAGGUGCAAAGUUAUAAAGGUUCCUAUUGGAGACAUCACUGAGAGCAUUUGAAACUGAGCUAUCACAUCAGUCAUUAUGGACCGUAGUCCAUCAUCACAGUAGUGGGGGACAGUAACAUGCAUGCUUGCUGUGUGCUUUUGUUUUUGCCAGAGAUUUUGAGAUUAAAGUGGUCUUCUUCAUGCCUCCCAUAUAUACUCAGAUAUAUAAUGUUCCCAGUUGAUAUAAGACUGAUUUCGUGAGGUCCUGCAACCAUAGGUUUCAUUAGGUGACUAGGUUUUGAUGACUUGCUACAAUAAUUAAGCAGACUGCUUUUUCAUGUGUCUUGGUUUUCUUGCCUAGAAGGUGAAAGCUCUGCAGCAGCUGUACAAAAUCCUGCUGAGCAUACGCUGCACUGUAGCAUAGCUUGAUCCUCUUCUUUGCUGAUGUUUAUACCAAUUUAUAACAUCUCUUGGUUGUGCAAGAGAAAUGGCACCACUGGAGUGGGAAAGCUGGAAGAGUGGCUUAUUAAUGAUAGGGACUUAGACUGUCCAGGCACAGAUCCACUGUUAUAGAACGAUUUUAGUGUCCUAUUCAGGAAAAUUUCCCCUGUGCCUAUGUGUCUUGACAGCUUUAUUGAUGAAAGAGUAUUUGCAUGCCAAAUAAGUACAGCCAGGACAUGAUCUGAACCAUAAACCGAAAGGCCCCAAAUACAUAGAUCUGUCUGUCUGAGAGAAGAGGACCUCUUUGGCCAUAAAGAUUUUCAUGCAUCCCCAUUUGUUUGCAUUUCUACCUUGAGCUGUUAAACAUGGUGAUCCUGUGAUUUAUGGACAGCAGAGUCGAGGAAGUCUCCAGGUCAUUAAACAUUUUACUGAGUAGAAAAUGAGAGCAUCUGCAAAGAAAAGCAACUCCUCAUUAGCCAUCUGUGCCCAUGCCCACUGAAAAAACACUCUCUGUCCCUGAAGAUGAGGAUUGGAUAUUCCUGUCAGAAAAUGUCAAAUCAACUGCUAUUAUUGCUACUUCAAUCUUAUGUUAGUUCUUACAGCAAAGUCCAAAGUCAAGUUUUUUUAAAAAAAAAUGGUUUUUGUUUGUUUGUUUUUGCUUUCUUACUGAAUUCAAACUUUUUGUUUUAACUCCACUGCAAUCACAAGAUGUUUUAUUUAAUUUAAUUCUUUUACUUAAUUCAUAGCUGGGUCAUAGUGAUAACACCUUAUCUGUGCUAUAUUAGUAGUAAUAAACACAAAUGAGGGUGAAUUAGAAUUGAAUGUGAUUUCACUGAAGUCUAGUAGAAAGAAAGAAAGAAAGAAAGAAAG